CUCUAUUCAACCAACGACACUCUCUCUCUAAAUCGCCACCCGCAUUUUCUCUUCACCCGCCCAGAAAAUUCACGAACUUACCCCUCAAAUGCAUCCUCAAUUCUACCCUAUUCACUUGUUCAACUCAAAAGUCAAGUGCCCCAUCCGAGGACUCGCUCUUGCUCCACCUCUCUGCCUCGUCCCCGCAGACUCCGACCACUGCGAUGUGAGGGGCCGAGAUGUUGAAU
rnacentral:lncRNA from 1 species